AGAAUAUGAGCAAAGAUGGGCAAAACUCAGUCGAAGUCCAGUCCACUGGUUUUCUGCAAGCACAUUAUAUGGAAAUUGUGCUGGCUACUGUUCACGUUGUUCUUCUGGUUGGAAUCAUUAUUCUUUGCUACAAAGUCAGAAUAUUUAAGAAGUUGCGCCAAAACCAAAGACAAAGGCAGAAGACUGAUGAAGAUGAUCUGAGUGACAGUGAUGUCAUAUACAUGAAUG